CCGGCGCCGCCGGGCGUUGCAGCACGCGUGUGCCGCGGCCCCUGGAAACGGGAAGGGGCGGGACGGGACGGUGGUCACCGCGUGCGGCCGGAACACCGGUGGCGGGCCAGACCAGCAAGUUACCAGAAGAGGGUGUAGCAGGAGUAAGCUGAAGCAUGAACACCCAUGUGCUGACCAGUACCUGCCUGCCUACGUGCACUUGCCACUCAGUGGAAGAGGGUGCUGCCUAGAAACCUGAGGCUCACAGUGCUCCAAGCUGGAAAUACUCCUAAGAAGAUUGUCUCUGUCUCAGAAAUCUUAAACAAUAAAUAAAAGACAAAAAUUUAAGAGAUUAGGA
rnacentral:lncRNA from 1 species